UACAGAGGUCUCGAGCGUUAGGCGGAAUCACUGGGCUUAAAGCGUGUGUAGGUGGAUCGGUAAGUACCUUGUGAAAUCCCACAGCUUAACUGUGGAACUGCUUGGUAUACUGCCAGUCUUGAGCCAGCUAGGGGCUACCGGAACAAAUGGUGGAGCGGUGAAAUGCGUAGAUAUCAGGAGGAACACCGGUGGUGUAGACGCUUUCUGGACCGUAACUGACGCUGGAGACACGAAAGCGUGGGUAGCAAACAGG
rnacentral:rRNA from 1 species